ensembl:snRNA U4 U4 spliceosomal RNA
UUCUUUGUGGCAGUAUCGUAGCCAAUGAGGUUUAUCCGAGGUGCGAUUACUGCUAAUUGAAAACUUUUCCCAAUACCCCUCCAUGACGACUUGCAAUAUUUUGUAGAAUUUUAUAGCAGA